CAUUGGAUCUAAACAAGGCCCAUAUUAAUUUUCGUACGAGCCGAACAGCCGAAAAAAAUGCAAGGACGAAAAUAACCUUCAACUUCAAGCGUGGGGCUAGGGCGGAUUAGGGUUUCUUGUCAGCUAUAAAUAUCAGAGAGAGGCCCUUAAUAUUUUCCGUCUUAAAACUUGGAUUAGAAACUCUGGUUCAUUCCAGAGGAGCGGCUGAGCAGGGUGAGACAAGCAGAUCCGGAGAGCUUGACACAGGAUGAGAGCUAAGUGGAAGAAGAAGCGAAUGAGGAGAUUGAAGAGGAAGCGCAGAAAGAUGAGGCAGAGAUCCAAGUAGGUGUGCGGACUGGGACAAGAUGGAGUUCUCUCCUGAUAUCAAACAGCUUUUGCUGCUUGAUAGCUUGCUGAAGGGUGUUUGACAGGGAAAGCUUCGCUUGUUUUCUGUCUUUUAGUUUUAGUUUUAGCAAAGUUUUAUUGAGACUACUGUUCUUCAAGUUGCUGGAUUAUAUGUUUUGAGUUGUAUUGGAUUUGAUGUUUAGGUAUGCUUCUAAAUUGAUGAUGAAACUUCUUAAAAUGUUUUAUGCGCUAUGAUGUGAUGCCUAAAUAGAAUUUUCUGUUCUAUUA